rnacentral:lncRNA from 1 species
GAAAAGGCCGAGGCUUUAGCCAGGGCAAAAGGAAAACAAGCAGUGGUGAAUGAAGGUACUCCUGUAGUGACACCGGUGCCUGGUGGAUCGGAAAAAGAACUUGAUGAUGAAGCAGAAGAAUUUCUAAGAAUCAUCAAGAAGUCUGAGUACAAGCUUGUUGACCAUCUGCAGCAGACUCCAUCCAAGAUAUCAAUCUUGUCAUUGCUGUUAAGCUCUGAGGGGCAUAG